rnacentral:tRNA from 2 species
GCACCCGUGGCUCAACUGGAUAGAGCAUCUGACUACGGAUCAGAAGGUUGCAGGUUCGAAUCCUGCCGGGUGUACAA